AACGAACGCUGGCGGCAGGCCUAACACAUGCAAGUCGAACGGACCCUUCGGGGUUAGUGGCGCACGGGUGAGUAACACGCGGGAAUAUGCCCUUAGGUACGGGACAACAGCUGGAAACGGCUGCUAAUACCGUAUGAUAUCGAGAGAUCAAAGAUUUAUCGCCUAAGGAUUAGCCCGCGUUAGAUUAGGUAGUUGGUGGGGUAAGAGCCUACCAAGCCUACGAUCUAUAGCUGGUCUCAGAGGAUGAUCAGCCACACUGGAACUGAGACACGGUCCAGACUCCUACGGGAGGCAGCAGUGAGGAAUAUUGGACAAUGGGCGAAAGCCUGAUCCAGCCAUGCCGCGUGAAUGAUGAAGGCCUUAGGGUUGUAAAGUUCUUUUAGUAGUGAAGAUGAUGACGGUAACUACAGAAAAAGCCCCGGCUAACUCCGUGCCAGCCGCCGCAGUAAUAC
rnacentral:rRNA from 1 species